UACGGGGGGAGCAAGCGUUGUUCGGAUUUACUGGGCGUAAAGGGCGCGUAGGCGGCCACCGCAAGUCGACUGUGAAAUCUCCGGGCUUAACCCGGAAAGGUCAGCCGAUACUGCGGGGCUAGAGUGCAGAAGGGGCAACUGGAAUUCUCGGUGUAGCGGUGAAAUGCGUAGAUAUCGAGAGGAACACCUGCGGCGAAGGCAGCUCGCUGGGACGGUACUGACGCUAAGGCGCGAAAGCGUGGGGAGCGAACAGG
rnacentral:rRNA from 1 species